AUUGAACGCUGGCGGCAUGCUUUACACAUGCAAGUCGAACGAGUGGCGCACGGGUGAGUAAUACAUCGGAACGUGUCCUAUCGUGGGGGAUAACUGAUCGAAAGAUCAGCUAAUACCGCAUACGAUUGGAGCGGCCGAUGCCCGAUUAGCUAGUUGGUGAGGUAAAGGCUCACCAAGGCGACGAUCGGUAGCUGGUCUGAGAGGACGACCGGCAACACUGUGACUGAGACACGGCCUAGACUCCUACGAGAGGAAUCAGUGGGGAAUUUUGGACAAGGGGGGCAACCCGGAUCCAGCCAUGCCGCGUGAAUGAUGAAGGUCUUCGGAUUUUAAACUUCUUUUGUCGGGAAAGCGGUACCUGAAGAAUAAGCACCGGCUAACUACGUGCCAGCAGCCGCGGUAAUAC
rnacentral:rRNA from 1 species